rnacentral:tRNA from 1 species
UGUUCUUACCAAGACUUGAACCUGGGGUUACUUGGUACCGAGUCCAUUGUCCUCACCACUAGACCAUCGAAC